CACGUAGGGGGCAAGCGUUGUCCGGAUUUAUUGGGCGUAAAGAGCGUGUAGGCGGCCAGGUAGGUCUGCUGUGAAAACUCGAGGCUUAACCUCGAGAUGUCGGCGGAAACCAUCUGGCUAGAGUCCGGAAGAGGAGAGUGGAAUUCCUGGUGUAGCGGUGAAAUGCGCAGAUAUCAGGAAGAACACCCGUGGCGAAGGCGGCUCUCUGGGACGGUACUGACGCUGAGACGCGAAAGCGUGGGGAGCGAACAGG
rnacentral:rRNA from 1 species